CCUACGGGUGGCAGCAGUGAGGAAUAUUGGUCAAUGGACGCUAGCCUGAACCAGCCAAGUAGCGUGAAGGAUGACUGCCCUAUGGGUUGUAAACUUCUUUUAUAUGGGGAUAAAGUGAAGUAUGUGUACUUCUUUGUAUGUACCUUAUGAAUAAGGAUCGGCUAACUCCGUGCCAGCAGCCGCGGUAAUACGGAGGAUCCGAGCGUUAUCCGGAUUUAUUGGGUUUAAAGGGAGCGUAGGCGGGUGGUUAAGUCAGUUGUGAAAGUUUGCGGCUCAACCUUAAAAUUGCAGUUGAUACUGGUAGGCUAGAGAAUAGUUGAGGUAGGCGGAAUGCGUGGUGUAGCGGUGAAAUGCUUAGAGAUCACGAAGAACUCCGAUUGCGAAGGCAGCUUGC
rnacentral:rRNA from 1 species